rnacentral:rRNA from 1 species
UACGUAGGAGGCAAGCGUUGUCCGGAAUCACUGGGCGUAAAGCGCGUGUAGGUGGUGCGACAAGUCUGCUGUGAAAGCGCCUGGCUUAACCGGGCGAGGUCGGCGGAAACUGACGUACUGGAGGCCGGUAGAGGGGGGUGGAAUUCCCGGUGUAGUGGUGAAAUGCGUAGAGAUCGGGAGGAACACCAGUGGCGAAGGCAGUGUCCUGGGGAGUGUCUGACGCUCAGGCGCGAAAGCUAGGGGAGCGAACAGG